rnacentral:RNase_P_RNA from 2 species
CGCGGCGGGAGUUUGCAAGUGGGAGUACACACGGGUGUCCUAGAGCACCAAAUUCAACCCCUCUCCUCGGGAAGGUCUGAGGUUCGAGUCCUGAUGGCGACAUCAGCUGAAAACGUGAUGUUUUCUCGUUGCGGGAAACCGCGAGCUGCCAUACCAGCAAGCCUGUUUGACUUGGCCUGCUCCCAUCGCAGCCCCUAUUCGCUCGUUGACGUGCUGGUGCACGGAGAGCAGUGGCCGUGGUGGGUCGCUUGAAACGCGUGGCAGCGGCUGGCUCAUGCAGUUCAAUAUGCAAAGGCCCUUGACUCUGUCGAGGGUGAACCCAAUUCAGACUACUCCUCGCCGCG